GGACCAUAGCUCAGUGGUAGAGCAUCUGCCUUGCAUUCAGAAGCUCCAAGGUUUAAUCCUCAGCAUCUCCA